rnacentral:misc_RNA from 1 species
GUGAAUCAUCGAAUCUUUGAACGCAAAUUGCACUCUCUUCUGUGAGUAAGCCUGUUUGAGGGUCAGUAUUAAUAAAAAUCGCUCUGUUGAUUCUUUGUGACGCUCCGGACAAUGGGUCAUCUUAAGAUCCUUUCGGUUUUAAGAGGCUUAAAAUUGACUUUUGUUGCGCAUUUUAGAUGAACAUAAAGUCUUUUUUUUAUUCGUCUAUUCUUAAUUCCAAAAUCGUAUUAGAUGCAAUCACAUCAUGUGGU